CAUGGCCGAAGAGAAGCAUCGCAUGCUGUUCCAAGGCCAGGAUCCCAGUCAGGAUCUGCCGAAACAGCGACCAAUGUCCUUGUCGCCAUCGGAGCCGCCCACCUACGAUGAUGCAAUGCAAACGUCUGCGAUUCUGGAUAGUUUGGACCACCACACCGGCCGUCGAAGAACCUUUUUCGCGGAACCCCAACAUCUGAGAUCCAAGGUGGAGGAGAUGCCGAUGCCCCAAAUCGAGGACGAGGAGAGCGUGCAAUCGGUUGGAUUAUCGGAGCACAAUCACACUGAGCAUCUUGCCAUGCCAACUGUGAGAAAUUUCUUUAUCCUGAGUCCGCAACCCAAACUGGGCAGCCAGGCGACGGACAUCGUGUGCCCAGCUUGUGGUCAACGGGGAGUAACCCGAUUGAAGAGGUCACCAAAUGCUCGGACCAACCUGUGGGCCCUCUGCCUGUGCACUUUUGGGUGAGUACGGUAUUUAAAUUACUUAGUUUGAAAAGUUCCCUCUUUAACUAACAUUGAAAUUGGUUGUUGAUAAAGAGAUUA
rnacentral:misc_RNA from 1 species